CCUACGGGAGGCAGCAGUGAGGAAUAUUGGUCAAUGGUCGGGAGACUGAACCAGCCAAGCCGCGUGAGGGAUGAAGGUACAGAGUAUCGUAAACCUCUUUUGUCAGGGAACAAAGGCGGGGACGUGUCCCCGGAUGAGUGUACCUGAAGAAAAAGCAUCGGCUAACUCCGUGCCAGCAGCCGCGGUAAUACGGAGGAUGCGAGCGUUAUCCGGAUUUAUUGGGUUUAAAGGGUGCGCAGGCGGUCUGUUAAGUCAGCGGUAAAAGCCCGGGGCGAAACCCCGGCCCGCCGUUGAAACUGGCAGUCUCGAGUUGGAGAGAAGUAUGCGGAAUGCGUGGUGUAGCGGUGAAAUGCAUAGAUAUCGCGCAGAACUCCGAUUGCGAAGGCAGCAUGCCGGCUCCACACUGACGCUGAGGCACGAAAGCGUGGGUAUCGAACAGGAUUAGAUACCCCAGUAGUC
rnacentral:rRNA from 1 species